GCAGUCGAGCGGUAGCACAGAGAGCUUGCUCUCGGGUGACGAGCGGCGGACGGGUGAGUAAUGUCUGGGAAACUGCCUGAUGGAGGGGGAUAACUACUGGAAACGGUAGCUAAUACCGCAUAACGUCGCAAGACCAAAGUGGGGGACCUUCGGGCCUCAUGCCAUCAGAUGUGCCCAGAUGGGAUUAGCUGGUAGGUGGGGUAACGGCUCACCUAGGCGACGAUCCCUAGCUGGUCUGAGAGGAUGACCAGCCACACUGGAACUGAGACACGGUCCAGACUCCUACGGGAGGCAGCAGUGGGGAAUAUUGCACAAUGGGCGCAAGCCUGAUGCAGCCAUGCCGCGUGUGUGAAGAAGGCCUUCGGGUUGUAAAGCACUUUCAGCGGGGAGGAAGGCGGUGAGGUUAAUAACCUUGUCGAUUGACGUUACCCGCAGAAGAAGCACCGGCUAACUCCGUGCCAGCAGCCGCGGUAAUACGGAGGGUGCAAGCGUUAAUCGGAAUUACUGGGCGUAAAGCGCACGCAGGCGGUCUGUCAAGUCGGAUGUGAAAUCCCCGGGCUCAACCUGGGAACUGCAUUCGAAACUGGCAGGCUAGAGUCUUGUAGAGGGGGGUAGAAUUCCAGGUGUAGCGGUGAAAUGCGUAGAGAUCUGGAGGAAUACCGGUGGCGAAGGCGGCCCCCUGGACAAAGACUGACGCUCAGGUGCGAAAGCGUGGGGAGCAAACAGGAUUAGAUACCCUGGUAGUCCACGCUGUAAACGAUGUCGAUUUGGAGGUUGUGCCCUUGAGGCGUGGCUUCCGGAGCUAACGCGUUAAAUCGACCGCCUGGGGAGUACGGCCGCAAGGUUAAAACUCAAAUGAAUUGACGGGGGCCCGCACAAGCGGUGGAGCAUGUGGUUUAAUUCGAUGCAACGCGAAGAACCUUACCUGGUCUUGACAUCCACAGAACUUUCCAGAGAUGGAUUGGUGCCUUCGGGAACUGUGAGACAGGUGCUGCAUGGCUGUCGUCAGCUCGUGUUGUGAAAUGUUGGGUUAAGUCCCGCAACGAGCGCAACCCUUAUCCUUUGUUGCCAGCGGUUAGGCCGGGAACUCAAAGGAGACUGCCAGUGAUAAACUGGAGGAAGGUGGGGAUGACGUCAAGUCAUCAUGGCCCUUACGACCAGGGCUACACACGUGCUACAAUGGCAUAUACAAAGAGAAGCGACCUCGCGAGAGCAAGCGGACCUCAUAAAGUAUGUCGUAGUCCGGAUUGGAGUCUGCAACUCGACUCCAUGAAGUCGGAAUCGCUAGUAAUCGUAGAUCAGAAUGCUACGGUGAAUACGUUCCCGGGCCUUGUACACACCGCCCGUCACACCAUGGGAGUGGGUUGCAAAAGAAGUAGGUAG
rnacentral:rRNA from 1 species